UCCGGUCCAUCCCUGAAAGCGUCAACACAAGCGACCACCGUCAUCGUCAUCAGCGUCGUCGCGUUCCACGUGCUCGCUAAGAGGCGUCCGCACCGCCUGAGCCCAACCUGCAGCCAGCCAGGAGACUCGAGACAAACGCGCUAAUCGGAGGUGCGGGGACUGGCCGAUGCUUGGUAAAUACAGUGGCUUACAGCAACCUCACGGAGCAACCCCACGGCCGUCGCAUGAAGCAAGAGCUAAAUUACGUGAUGCACACGGGGGGACAGAGUCUCGGUCACUCACUCCGCAGUGUGGUGAGCAACGUCACACAAUGGAACAUCCGGCCGUCUGCUGCGAUGUGACGACCCGCUCCGAUUGAGGGGGCUGCCCACCGUGCUCGUUGGGGACCGUGACGGAGUAGAUGCAGCUUUGCGUCACGCUGUAGUUGCCCGGGUAGUUGGGGGAGAGGAUGGAGCCCUCCUGGCCCGUGCUGUGGCCUCCGCACGGGGCUGGGGGCGGAGAGAGAAAGGAGAGAGAAAGCCUUUGGAUCGGUUUUGCCGGAUCGGCCCGGGACCGCCAGAUAAUGUUGGAAGCAGCAGCCGGAUAAUCGAUGAUCAACUGUACACACGAACAUCUUUGAAGAGGACGACGCGAUCCGUCAGGAGGAGAGGAAGAGGGAGCGGGGGGCGCGCCCGGGGCUCUCACCGCGGCAGGCUGGGAGGGGCCGGUUCCACGCUGGCCUCCCGUCGUCCCCCAUGAUGCACAGCAGGGUGGAGUAGCCGUGCAGCGAGUAGCCCGUGCCACAGGCGAACGUCACGCUCGAGCCCAGGCGCAGGUCGGAGCCGAGGCGCGAACCGUUCGCGAUGCUCCCGGGGUCGAAGCACGACUCCCGCGGUUUCUCUGCGAAUGCGGAUGGAAAAAAAAUGAACGAGUGACCCUCCGGAGUAAGACCGGCCCUGGGAAAAAAAGCUUGUUCAUAGCAUCGCUUGUGUUUAGGGGCGCCACGGCGGCUAGGAGAUGUUAUCUCCUUCGCCUGGUAUGCAGGAGGUCGUGGGUUCGAUCCCGACGCUGACGCCUACUGCUGUAUAUUUGGAGUUUGCGAAUCUCUCCCCCCGUGGUCGCUUAGAUUUUUCUCCAGGUCCUCCAGUUUUUCCGUCCACAUUUAAAAUCAACACGUGUUUAGAGUAUUUGGCUGCUUUAGAUUUUCCACGUGAUAGCCAGGUCGUUUAUGAAAAAGAGCGAUAUUGCUCAGCGGGCCUUAGCUGCUAAAAUAAAUUUUUUAAAAAUAGUAUUGCACAAUCGCUCAGGAACAAGCACAUACUACCCACUUUCUAACACAUCUUGGAAGCAUCUUGAGGAUUAUUUGGUAGACGGCAAAAUAUGUUUAAUUUCCGAUUAGAUUUAUAAAGUUGACAAGUACAAUUGUUUCUCACUAAACUGUGGAAUGGUGAGGUGUUCGGGUAGUCGGGCAAUUUGGCGUAGUUCAGUUCCACAAAUUUCAGUUUGGCAUUUCAAAGACCACACAGACACUGCUAAAGGCCCAAUUAGUGAAAAUGCCAUAAGUCACAAUAUAACACAAAGUCCACAGCAAAAAUGUUCUGCCAAGCGGUGCCCGCUGUUGUGUGUGUCCAGCGAGCAGCCCCCUGCUCCGUGGGGGGAGAGAUGAGAUGAGUGCCGGCCCAAGCCUCAUCUGAUCACCAGAGACACGGACAUUUCUCAGCUGCAACCUCAUCUCACGGGAACUCAAACGUGGUAUUCGUCAAUCAGUCAGCUAUAAUGACAAUCUGCCUUCGGCUGACACGGCACACUUGUGUGUGUACGCACGUCCGCGGGAUUGCGGUGGCAUGGCGACUGGCGCACUGCGCUACGAACCCGAUGGCGAGAGUUUGACUCCUGCUCGGGGCUAACAUCGGUGAUGUUAUAUCUCAACCGCUCCUGGGCCUCCCCGAGGUCAAUACGGAUUGUUUUGACACAGCACCACACACGAUGGUGGCAAAGACUCUGAAGGUGGCUGGCACUAGAACAGCU